UUUGAAAUCUGGCGUCUUCGGCGUCCGAGUUGUAAUUUGUAGAGGAUGCUAUUGAGUUGUCACCGGUCUAAGUUCCUUGGAACAGGACGUCAUAGAGGGUGAGAAUCCCGUAUGUGACCGGCCAGACGCUCUCUGUAUAGCUCCUUCGACGAGUCGGGUUGUUUGGGAAUGCAGCCCUAAAUGGGAGGUAAAUUUCUUCUAAAGCUAAAUACCGGCCAGAGACCGAUAGCGCACAAGUAGAGUGAUCGAAAGAUGAAAAGCACUUUGGAAAGAGAGUUAAAAAGCACGUGAAAUUGUUGAAAGGGAAGCGCUUGCAAUCAGUCUCGACGGCGGCUGUUCGGCCUCUCUUCUGAGUGGUUUAUUCAGUCGCCGCCGGGCCAGCAUCAGUUCUGGCGGUCGGAUAAAGACGCGGGGAAUGUAGCUCCUCUCGGGGAGUGUUAUAGCCUCGCGUGCAAUACGGCCUGCCGGGACUGAGGUCCGCGCUUCGGCUAGGAUGCUGGCGAAAUGGUUGUAAGCGGCCCGUCUUGAAACACGGACCAAGGAGUCUAACAUCUAUGCGAGUGUUUGGGUGUCAAACCCGUACGCGUAAUGAAAGUGAACGGAGGUGGGAACCGCAAGGUGCACCAUCGACCGAUCCUGAUGUCUUCGGAUGGAUUUGAGUAAGAGCAUAGCUG
rnacentral:rRNA from 1 species